GCAGGUUGGAGCAGUUGGUAGCUCGCUAGGUUCAUAUCCUAGAGGUCGCCAGUUCGAGUCUGGCACUCUGCACCA
rnacentral:tRNA from 1 species